rnacentral:lncRNA from 1 species
AAGUUGGUCAUCAAAGCAUGAGUGCUACAACAUCACAUAUAACAUCUUAAAUAAACAUUGUAAAUUAUUCUUUUGUUUGAUUAUAAUCUAGUUUCUCCUUUUCCUCUUUCUCCUUUCUCAUCACCUAUUCUUCUUCUUUCUCAUUUUUUUUUUGUCUUUUUGCUCAUCCUCUCUUCUUUUCUUUUCUUGUUUUUCCUCCUCCUCCUCCUCCUCUUCCUACUUCUUCUUCUCCUUCUUGUCUUUCCCAUUCCUCUCAUUCUUACAUUGUCUCGUAUUUAACUCCUGAAAAGACAAAGCAACAGUUAUGGGUUGGGGUAGGGGGUGGAGGUGACAGAUUAAAGACACCACCAACAACAACAACAAUAAUAACAACAACAACUACUAUUAUUACUUCUAUUACAACAAGAAAAUAAUGAUGAUGAUUGUUGAGGGGAGGGUUGGGAAUUGUUUAUAUUUAUUAUUACGUUUUUUGUUUUGUUUUUUUUUUGUUUUUUACUACUUCCCUGUGGAUCAAUAAAUAAAUGAAUAAAUAAAUAAAUGAAUUUUUAACCCCUCCUG